rnacentral:rRNA from 1 species
UGGGGAAUAUUGCACAAUGGGGGAAACCCUGAUGCAGCGACGCCGCGUGGAGGAAGAAGGUCUUCGGAUUGUAAACUCCUGUUGUUGAGGAAGAUAAUGACGGUACUCAACAAGGAAGUGACGGCUAACUACGUGCCAGCAGCCGCGGUAAAACGUAGGUCACAAGCGUUGUCCGGAAUUACUGGGUGUAAAGGGAGCGCAGGCGGGAGAACAAGUUGGAAGUGAAAUCCAUGGGCUCAACCCAUGAACUGCUUUCAAAACUGUUUUCUUGAGUAGUGCAGAGGUAGGCGGAAUUCCCGGUGUAGCGGUGGAAUGCGUAGAUAUCGGGAGGAACACCAGUGGCGAAGGCGGCCUACUGGGCACCAACUGACGCUGAGGCUCGAAAGUGUGGGUAGCAAACAGGAUUAGAUACCCGAGU